UGGGGAAUAUUGGACAAUGGGCGCAAGCCUGAUCCAGCCAUGCCGCGUGAGUGAUGAAGGCCCUAGGGUUGUAAAGCUCUUUCACCGGUGAAGAUAAUGACGGUAACCGGAGAAGAAGCCCCGGCUAACUUCGUGCCAGCAGCCGCGGUAAUACGAAGGGGGCUAGCGUUGUUCGGAUUUACUGGGCGUAAAGCGCACGUAGGCGGACUUUUAAGUCAGGGGUGAAAUCCCGGGGCUCAACCCCGGAACUGCCUUUGAUACUGGAAGUCUUGAGUAUGGUAUAGGUGAGUGGAAUUCCGAGUGUAGAAGUGAAAUUCGUAGAUAUGCGGAGGAACACCAGUGGCGAAGGCGGCUCACUGGACCAUUACUGACGCUGAGGUGCGAAAGCGUGGGGAGCAAACAGG
rnacentral:rRNA from 1 species